rnacentral:lncRNA from 1 species
UGGUACUAUUGAGUUUUCGGCCAUUGGAUGAAAGGAUGUGCGGUUAGGAUGAUAGUGGUCCCCUAGGGUUGAGUGGGUAGUUGAUUUAAUAGUAUAAUCUAACGGGUGGAAAUGAUCAAAGGGUAGAUCUAAUGGUAGAAAACUCAAAAGUACCAAUGGCUUGGUACUAUCGAUAGUAUAAUAACCGGACUCUAUAUAUAUGUAUAUACGGCUGGAAUGCUAUUAAUAGUACUAAGCACUUCGUGCCAUCUUGGUCAGUUCCAUCCCUUCGAUCAUGCUAUUCUACAACCCACCUACUAAAGCCUAGGGGGACCACCGCUAAACUCUAGGGGACCACUAUCAUCCCAACACUACAAUUUUUCAUCUAAGGUUGUAAACUUUAGUAGUAAAAAUGAUCAAAUACAAUUAAUAGUAUUCCAGUACAACACCAUAUAUACACAAACAUAUAUACACACGUAUAUACACGCAUAUAUACACGCGCGCACACGUAUACGUAUAUAUAUAGAAUUGAGCUCCUAUACUUUUAAAAGUAUCAAGUCAUUCUUGCUUGUCGGUUUUCGGCCCUUGGAUUAAGGGAUGUACGAUUGGGAUGACAGUGGUCCCCUAGGGAUAUAUAUAUAUAUAUAUAUAGAAUUAGGGUACUAUACUAUCUAUAGUAUUGGAGCUCCGGUACUAUAGUCUCAUUUUUUAUUUUAGGAUGUUCAAAUCAAUGAUCCACACCGUCAAAUAUAAUCUAGGGUGAAGUUCUUAGAAUAAAAUUUUAAUUUUUUUCAAUAUCGUUUACUUAGUAAGUAAAUCAUGUCAAAAUAAACGGUGAAAAUUGAACAAUCUUUAAAAUUUGAGAAUAGGACUUUUGAAUUCAAGAUCAAGUAUGCUGACCUUGAUCUAUAUAGUUUAAAGUAUUUUCUAUCAAAAUUUGAAUAAAUUUAAAUUCUUUUACAUUGUUAAGUUACGAACUCGCCAUAGUAGCCAUUGAAAAUUGACUAGUUUGAAAUGCUUUGAUCAUAAAGUAAACUAUGUCGAAAAAAUAUAAAAUUUUGUUUCUAAAAACUCCAAAUAUUUUAGAUCAGUUUUAACAGUGUGGAUCAUUGAUUUCAAUACCUAAGAUUGAAAACGGGACUAUAGUACCGGAGCCCCGGUACUAUAGAUAGUAUAGGAGCUUAGCUCUAUAUGUAUAUGUAUAUGCAUAUAUCAUGCACAAUAGGUCCAAUGAACAAAAAAGCUUGAUCACAGGGCUCAAAACAUAUAACCAUCUCUCCAAAUAGACGAUCGACACUGUUGAACAUGAUCUAGACCAUUUAAGCUAAUUUGGAAAUCAAAUUUCAUGCUUUUCGGAUAUUAUUUCUUAUCCAUCAAGUGGACACAAAAAUGAACGGAUGAAAAUUAAUAUCCUUUUAAAAGUGGUGAUAGGAGUCUUGUAAUCAAGAUCAAGCAUUUAUAUCUUGUUUUAAGUAGUUUAAAGAAUUUUUUAACUAAAAUUCAAUUGAUUUAGAUAUCUUUGUGCCGUUAAAUUAGAAAACACUUCAUAUCGACCAUGAAAAUUAUAAAUUUUUAAACUCUUUGACCAUUAGGUCAAUGACGUCGAAAAGAUUUGAAAUUUGGUUCUAAGAUAUUUUAAAUGGUAUAGAUCAUGUACAAUGGUGUCGAUCGUCGAUUUGGAAACUCCAUCAUCGAAAACAAAUCGGUAGCANAUAUAUAUAUAUAUAUAUAUAGAAUUAGAGUACUAUAUUAUCUAUAGUAUUGGAGCUCCGGUACUAUAGUCUCAUUUUUUAUCUUAGGAUGUUCAAAUCAAUGAUCCACAUCGUCAAAUAUAAUCUAGGGUGAAGUUCUUAGCAAUAAAAUUUUAAUUUUUUUCAAUAUCGUUUACUUAGUAAGUAAAUCAUGUCAAAAUAAACGGUGAAAAUUGAACAAUCUUUAAAAUUUGAGAACAGGACUUUUGAAUUCAAGAUCAAGUAUGCCGACCUUGAUCUAUAUAGUUUAAAGUAUUUUCUAUCAAAAUUUGAAUAAAUUUAAAUUCUUUUACAUUGUUAAGUUAACGAACUCGCCAUAGUAGCCAUUGAAAAUUGACUAGUUUGAAAUGGUUUGAUCAUAAAGUAAACUAUGUCGAAAAAAUAUAAAAUUUUGUUUCUAAAAACUUCAAAUAUUUUAGAUCAGUUUUAACCGUGUGGAUCAUUGAUUUCAAUACCUAAGAUUGAAAACGGGACUAUAGUACCGGAGCCCCGGUACUAUAGAUAGUAUAGGAGCUUAGCUCUAUAUGUAUAUGUAUAUGCAUAUAUCAUGCACAAUAGGUCCAAUGAACAAAAAAGCUUGAUCACAGGGCUCAAAACAUAUAACCAUCUCUCCAAAUAGACGAUCGACACUGUUGAACAUGAUCUAGACCAUUUAAGCUAAUUUGGAAAUCAAAUUUCAUGCUUUUCGGAUAUUAUUUCUUAUCCAUCAAGUGGACACAAAAAUGAACGGAUGAAAAUUAAUAUCCUUUUAAAAGUGGUGAUAGGAGUCUUGUAAUCAAGAUCAAGCAUUUAUAUCUUGUUUUAAGUAGUUUAAAGAAUUUUUUAACUAAAAUUCAAUUGAUUUAGAUAUCUUUGUGCCGUUAAAUUAGAAAACACUUCAUAUCGACCAUGAAAAUUAUAAAUUUUUAAACUCUUUGACCAUUAGGUCAAUGACGUCGAAAAGAUUUGAAAUUUGGUUCUAAGAUAUUUUAAAUGGUAUAGAUCAUGUACAAUGGUGUCGAUCGUCGAUUUGGAAACUCCAUCAUCGAAAACAAAUCGGUAGCAACGGAGUCUGUUUGCUACUAAUAACAUUCCAGCUCAAAUCUGUAUAUAGAUACACACACAAAUAUACACACAUAUAUGUAUAUGUAUAUGCAUCUAUCAUGCACAAUAGGUCCAAUGGCCAAAAAGCUUGAUCCAAGGGCUCAAAACUUAUAAAUCAAGAACUUGAUGCAUCUAAAAGCAUUCCAAUUCAGUACUAUAUAUAUAUAUAUAGUCCAGCUAGAAUACUAUCAAAAGUGUGUUAAUAGCGCCUACUAUAAACUUCUUAUCCUUUGGAUCCAUAAUAAUACCACCACCAAAUAGUAAAACCUAGUCAUCCAAGAGCUAAAAAGUCUAUAUGUAUACUAUUAGUACUCUGGCUCAAUACUCUCNCUCUCUGGGCAUUUUCGCAGUGAGGGACCGGUCCCAGCUCGGGAAGACCGGUCCCCGAAGGCUGCCAUUUCGAGCAGAGGGAAUUUCGCGUUCGGGAACCGGUUCUUGCUUGAGAGACCGGUCCCCGGGAGACCGGUCUUUGUCCGAGAGACCGGUUCCCGAGAGCUGAGUUUUCGGGACUUAGCCGAUUUUCGGCUAUUUUCGCUGGGCCAACGUUCGGGAACCGGUCCCUUACCACCAGGGACCGGUCUCAUCAGAGACCCCCGCAGCCCAGCCUGAUGGAACCGGUCCCUCCCUGCCAGGGACCGGUCCCCGAGAGCAUUUCUGCUCCAGUGCAAGUUUUGCACUUGGUGCUCUCGCGGGCCCUUCCUUAAUGCACUUUAUGCAUUAUAAACACCUUCGGACUUUCCGAAGCCUACGCACUCGACAACUAGUUGAUUCUGGUCGAAGUCUAAUUCUCGAGUUUCGAGAAUUCACUUCCUUACAAAAAGUGUGUUAAUAGCGCCUACUAUAAACUUCUUAUCCUUUGGAUCCAUAAUAAUACCACCACCAAAUAGUAAAACCUAGUCAUCCAAGAGCUAAAAAGUCUAUAUGUAUACUAUUAGUA